CGGCGCUUGAGGCUUUCUGCCUCAUGACGUGAAGGUGGUUUGUUACCGUGUUGUGUGGCAGAAGGCAGAAAGCCCCGUAGUUAAUUUUUCAUUAACCCACGAGGCCCCCUGUAUGUCUGAUCAACAACAGUAUGGCCUCUUACCGUGCUUAAUGCAAGGAGGAGUAAACCAUG
rnacentral:antisense_RNA from 3 species